rnacentral:misc_RNA from 1 species
CAUUCUCAAACCUUUUUGGUUUCUUGACCAAGAAGGCUUUGGACUCUGGAGGUUCUUGCUGGCCUUUCUUUAUUGAAGCCAGCUCCUCUGAAAUAAAUUAGUGGGAUCCACUUUGCUGAUCCUUGAUGUGAUAAGAUAUUUCUAUGUCUUGGGUCUUGCACUGUUUCGCUCUGGAUCCUGCUUCUAACUGUCUCAUAGAAGACAAUGGUUGAGUGAUUGCCACUUGACCUACAAA